rnacentral:rRNA from 1 species
GACGUAGGGCGCGAGCGUUGUCCGGAUUUAUUGGGCGUAAAGAGCUCGUAGGCGGCUUGUUGCGUCAGCUGUGAAAACCCGCAGCUCAACUGUGGGCUUGCAGCUGAUACGGGCAGGCUUGAGUUCGGUAGGGGAGAAUGGAAUUCCCGGUGUAGCGGUGAAAUGCGUAGAUAUCCGGAAGAACACCGGAGGCGAAGGCGGCUUGCUGGGCUCGGUCUGACGCUGAGGCGCGAAAGCGUGGGGAGCGAACAGG